rnacentral:rRNA from 1 species
CCUACGGGGCGCAGCAGUGGGGAAUAUUGCGCAAUGGGGGCAACCCUGACGCAGCAACGCCGCGUGAUUGAAGAAGGCCUUCGGGUUGUAAAGAUCUUUAAACAGUGACGAAGAAAUGACGGUACCUGAAGAAUAAGCUCCGGCUAACUACGUGCCAGCAGCCGCGGUAAUACGUAGGAUGCGAGCGUUAUCCGGAUUUACUGGGUGUAAAGGGAGCGUAGACGGCAGAGCAAGUCUGAAGUGAAAGCCCGCGGCCCAACUGCGGGACUGCUUUGGAAACUGCCCGGCUAGAGUGCUGGAGAGGU